CGCUUCUCGAUUUUGAUCAGCUGGAUGUCGCCCAGCUCUUCAUCCACCGUCACAUCGUAAGAAUCCACCUGCGAAGGAGAAAAGGCAGCACCCUGAGGGACUUUGUCAGUAAAAUGAGAAGUUGGGUGUCGUCAGAGACCUCUGGGCUCGCAAGCUGUGGCAGCCGCAGGCGCCAGACGCUGUGGUUAGAAAUCAGAAGCCUCCUUCCUGUGCCCUGCGGUCUCGGCCUGGGCCCCGAGGACAAGGAGCCAGGGACAGAUCGUCCUUAAAGAGACAUUGGCUGGAGAAUGGGGAAGUCGCUCCGGGCUGUGCAAGACAGUGUGGAGUAACUCUGCAUCAACAGGAACUUUCUCAAAAACUGAUUUUUUUCAGAGAGCCUUUCCGAGCCAGCUGGUUCCCCUGCAUGGAGCAGCCGCCCUGACUGGCCCUCUCUCAGCCCGAUGGAAAUGUGAAUGCAAAUCGCUCCUGAAAUUUGCUUCUGAGACACUCGCUGAGGUGUUGAAUCACAAGGGCAUUUAAAUGAAUUCUCCGGUCGGUCGGCAGACAGAAGAGAGGGAGGGGGAUAAGGAGCAGAGCAGUGCUUCCUGCCCUCUGCCCACAACCUGUUUGGGUCACACCGCUGUCUUCGGGGAGAAGCCACACUGGGCGCCGGUGUUGCACAGUGAGGACCCUGCUGUGCGCCCUGUGGGAGGACAGGGCCCAGGUGGCCCGCUGAUAAGGGGACGCAGUCCGCAUCCUGUUCUCCUCCCCGCGGUGUGGGGCGCCCAUAAGUAAGAGAAGUAAAGGAAGGUGCUUCAGAAAGGACAGAGGGGGCCAUGGUCUCACACGGAUGACUAGCUAGCCCUCCUGUUCUCAGGGCCAGUUCCCGGGCAGGGCAGCCAGCACCCGGAGGUGGUCCUCACACGCAACACCUGUCUACGUGAAGGGAGCUCGACCCUGGCUAAUCCCGGGUGGGGCAAAAGUAGGUUGACAGUUGUUCGUAUGGGAAAUAAUACAGCCCUGGCCAGUAGCUUGGUGGUUAGAGCGCCAGCCUGCUCAUGGAAGGGUCACGGGUUUGAUUCCCAGUCAAGGGUACAUACCUGGGUUGCAGGUUCAAUCCCCGGUCCCAGGCGGGGUGGGUUCAAGAAGCAACCAAUCCAUGUCUCUCUCUCUCAUGGAUGUUUCUCUCCUUAACCCCUGAGGCCCCCCCUCCCCCCGCUGCCCCCCUCCCUUCCACUUGAUGGGAAAAAUAUCCUCGGGUAAGGAUUAUCAAAAU